GAUCAAGUGUCUUAAGGGCAAUUGGUGGAUGCCUUGGCAUGCACAGGCGAUGAAGGACGUGAUACGCUGCGAUAAGCUACGGGGAGGUGCGAAUACCCUUUGAUCCGUAGAUUUCCGAAUGGGGAAACCCACCUAAGGUACUUGGAAAAUCAGAGCAGCAGGGCAACUUGCUGCUGUGGUUUCCAAGUAUCGAUAAUAGGUAACUUACCCUGAAUAAAAUAGGGGUAAAGUGGCGAACGCGGGGAACUGAAACAUCUAAGUACCCGUAGGAAAGGACAUCAACCGAGACUCCGGAAGUAGUGGCGAGCGAACCCGGACCAGGCCAGUGGCGAUGAUGAGACAAGCGGAACCUUCUGGAAAGUAGGGCCAUAGUGGGUGACAGCCCCGUACGCGUAAUGCAAAUCAUCGUCCUCGAGUAAGGCGGGACACGUGAAAUCCUGUCUGAAAUUGGGGGGACCACCCUCCAAGCCUAAGUACUCGUGCAUGACCGAUAGCGAACUAGUACCGUGAGGGAAAGGUGAAAAGCACCCCGACAAGGGGAGUGAAAUAGUACCUGAAACCGAUUGCCUACAAACAGUGGGAGCCCAAGGUUCGUCCUGGGUCACCACGUACCUUUUGUAUAAUGGGUCAGCGACUUAGUGUGACGAGCAAGCUUAAACCGAUAGGUGUAGGCGCAGCGAAAGCGAGUCUGAACAGGGCGUUCAGUUCGUCGCAUUAGACCCGAAACCGAGUGAUCUAGCCAUGAGCAGGUUGAAGGUAAGGUAACACUUACUGGAGGACCGAACCCAUAACUGUUGCAAUAGUUCGGGAUGACUUGUGGCUAGGGGUGAAAGGCCAAUCAAACUCGGAAAUAGCUGGUUCUCCGCGAAAUCUAUUUAGGUAGAGCGUCGACCGAAUACCCCAGGGGGUAGAGCACUGGAUGGGCUAGGGGUCCUCACCGGAUUACCAAACCUAACCAAACUCCGAAUACCUGGGAGUAAUAGUCGGCAGACACACGGCGGGUGCUAACGUCCGUCGUGAAAAGGGAAACAACCCUGACCUACAGCUAAGGUCCCCAAGUUAUGGCUAAGUGGGAAAGGAUGUGAGGAUCCCAAAACAACCAGGAUGUUGGCUUAGAAGCAGCCAUCAUUUAAAGAAAGCGUAACAGCUCACUGGUCUAAAUAAGGGUCUUUGCGCCGAAAAUGUAACGGGGCUAAAGCCAUACACCGAAGCUUAGGGUUUGCAGCAAUGCAAGCGGUAGCGGAGCGUUCUGUAAGCUGAUGAAGCCAUACCCGUGAGGGAUGGUGGAGGUAUCAGAAGUGCGAAUGCUGACAUGAGUAACGUAAGGGGAGUGAGAGACUCCCCCGCCGAAAGUCCAAGGGUUCCUGCUUAAAGCUAAUCUGAGCAGGGUUAGCCGGCCCCUAAGUCGAGGCAGAAAUGCGUAGACGAUGGGAACCACGUUAAUAUUCGUGGGCCUGGAGGAAGUGACGGAUCAUUGAGGUAGUCCAAUCUUAUCGGAUUGAAAGGGCUGCUGCGUGGUUCCAGGAAAUAGCUCCUCCUUAUAGACCGUACCCGAAACCGACACUGGUGGACUGGUAGAGUAUACCAAGGCGCUUGAGAGAACUAUGCUGAAGGAACUCGGCAAAUUGCACGCGUAACUUCGGAAGAAGCGUGACCCUUUCAUGCGCAAGCAUGGGAGGGUGGCACAGACCAGGGGGUAGCGACUGUUUAUCAAAAACACAGGGCUCUGCGAAGUCGCAAGACGACGUAUAGGGUCUGACGCCUGCCCGGUGCUGGAAGGUUAAGAGGAGGGGUGCAAGCUCUGAAUCGAAGCCCCAGUAAACGGCGGCCGUAACUAUAACGGUCCUAAGGUAGCGAAAUUCCUUGUCGGGUAAGUUCCGACCUGCACGAAUGGCGUAACGACUUCCCCGCUGUCUCCAGCAUAGACUCAGUGAAAUUGAAUUCCCCGUGAAGAUGCGGGGUUCCUGCGGUUAGACGGAAAGACCCCGUGCACCUUUACUAUAGCUUUACAUUGGCAUUCGUAGUGGCAUGUGUAGGAUAGGUGGUAGGCUUUGAAACCUGGGCGCCAGCUCAGGUGGAGCCACCCUUGAAAUACCACCCUUAUCACUAUGGAUGUCUAACCGCGGCCCGUUAUCCGGGUCCGGGACAAUGUAUGGUGGGUAGUUUGACUGGGGCGGUCGCCUCCUAAAGAGUAACGGAGGCGCGCGAUGGUGGGCUCAGAACGGUCGGAAAUCGUUCGCUGAGUGCAAUGGCAUAAGCCUGCCUGACUGCGAGACUGACAAGUCGAGCAGAGACGAAAGUCGGUCAUAGUGAUCCGGUGGUCCCGCGUGGAAGGGCCAUCGCUCAACGGAUAAAAGGUACGCCGGGGAUAACAGGCUGAUGACCCCCAAGAGUCCAUAUCGACGGGGUUGUUUGGCACCUCGAUGUCGACUCAUCGCAUCCUGGGGCUGGAGCAGGUCCCAAGGGUAUGGCUGUUCGCCAUUUAAAGCGGUACGUGAGUUGGGUUCAGAACGUCGUGAGACAGUUCGGUCCCUAUCUGCCGUGGGUGUAGGAAUAUUGAAAGGAUCUGUCCCUAGUACGAGAGGACCGGGAUGGACGGAUCUCUGGUGGACCUGUUGUGGCGCCAGCCGCAUAGCAGGGUAGCUAUAUCCGGACGGGAUAACCGCUGAAGGCAUCUAAGCGGGAAACCCACCUUAAAACGAGUAUUCCCUGAGAACCGUGGAAGACGACCACGUUGAUAGGCCGGGUGUGGAAGAGCGGCAACGCUUGAAGCUUACCGGUACUAAUAGUUCGAUCGGCUUGAUCGU
rfam:Mesorhizobium sp. LSHC420B00 scaffold0036, whole genome shotgun sequence.